CGAUUACAGCAUCGAUACACAAACAGCUGUGGCGAACGGAACUAAAUCCACAACAUAAACGACAAAGCCUGCAAUUAACGACAAAACGGAUCCCGGUUCCGGAUCCAGGCGAACCCGCCCUGCCUGAGACGGUCACCUCAACUCCGGCUCAUAUUGGCCACCGAAUGGACCCUUCUUCAACUUGAGUUGGCUAUUGUGCUUCUCCCUCUCCCUACAGCAGUAAUUACUCGGACAUUUUCAUCAUCAGGUAUGUUUUUUUGACAUUAAAAACAAACCGACAGACGAGGAUCGAAAAAUGAACACGUAGCUUGGAAAUAACGACAGCAUAUGAAUUUCAACAUGUUAUUGCAGCGAAGACACAGCAAAUAUAAUAAAUAUAAUAUCUAUAUAUAUAAAA